UAACUCCCAAAUUAUCUAAUUUUGAUUAAAUUAACUUGUGUUGCAAACGUUAAGAUCUAAUAAACAUCAAAUAAAAAACAGAUGUAGAUAAGAUAAGAUCUAAUAAACAUCAAAUUCACUUAUCAUAGAAAAAUAGUGAAGUACACACUGAUACUCAUUCAUGAAAUAUAAAUAAAAAUAGCAUGCAGAAAUUUGGAAAAUUUUAUUUCAAAUACAUAAGUUUUUCCUGAUAUCUUUUAGUAAGCAAAGCAAGUGAUAAUCACACGAUCAAAGAGCCAUCAUUGAAAGCGAGUAAAACAUUUCCUCCUGUUGAUUCUGCAACUCCCGAGUUGAAUUUCUUGGCCAAUGUCAUCGUACAGGACCUUUCUUUAACCUUAAAGCACGUUCGAUUCUUGCUACGUUGGAAGCUUGAUGUUCAGUGUUGAAAGCUAUUUGACCUAAUCGAAAAAGAAACAACCUGGAUUGGUAAAGUGCUUCGUCUCUGAAGAAUCUGAAACCAAACAACAACUUAAGGAUCAAUAUGAUACUAACUGGAACACCAGCUACUGCAGGUGCUGUUAGAUGUAAAUGAAGCAUCCAUGAAGUCACCAUCGUGUGCAGUACCAUUUUCCAGGAUAUGUGCAGUAUGAGGAUUCCAGUUUUUGACUAAUCCUUUCAAAUGCACUAAGUAUAGUCUAGUAAUUAAAAUAGAAAUAUUUUC
rnacentral:lncRNA from 1 species